GCUUACGGCCACACCGCCUGGUUCACGCACGAUCUCGUUUGAUCUCGGAAGAUAAGAUAGGGUGGGCCUGGUUAGUACCUGGAUGGGAGACCGCCUGGGAAUACCAGGUGCUGUAAGCU
ensembl:rRNA 5S_rRNA 5S ribosomal RNA